UACGAAGGGGGCUAGCGUUGCUCGGAAUCACUGGGCGUAAAGGGUGCGUAGGCGGGUCUUUUAAGUCAGGGGUGAAAUCCUGGAGCUCAACUCCAGAACUGCCUUUGAUACUGAAGAUCUUGAGUUCGGGAGAGGUGAGUGGAACUGCGAGUGUAGAGGUGAAAUUCGUAGAUAUUCGCAAGAACACCAGUGGCGAAGGCGGCUCACUGGCCCGAUACUGAUGCUGAGGCACGAAAGCGUGGGGAGCAAACAGG
rnacentral:rRNA from 1 species